rnacentral:rRNA from 1 species
GACGAACGCUGGCGGCGUGCUUAACACAUGCAAGUCGAACGGAAAGGCCCUGCUUUUGUGGGGUGCUCGAGUGGCGAACGGGUGAGUAACACGUGAGUAACCUGCCCUUGACUUUGGGAUAACUUCAGGAAACUGGGGCUAAUACCGGAUAGGAGCUCCUGCUGCAUGGUGGGGGUUGGAAAGUUUCGGCGGUUGGGGAUGGACUCGCGGCUUAUCAGCUUGUUGGUGGGGUAGUGGCUUACCAAGGCUUUGACGGGUAGCCGGCCUGAGAGGGUGACCGGCCACAUUGGGACUGAGAUACGGCCCAGACUCCUACGGGAGGCAGCAGUGGGGAAUAUUGCACAAUGGGCGGAAGCCUGAUGCAGCAACGCCGCGUGCGGGAUGACGGCCUUCGGGUUGUAAACCGCUUUCGCCUGUGACGAAGCGUGAGUGACGGUAAUGGGUAAAGAAGCACCGGCUAACUACGCC